UACGGGGGGAGCAAGCGUUGUUCGGAUUUACUGGGCGUAAAGGGCGCGUAGGCGGCGCAACAAGUCACUUGUGAAAUCUCCGGGCUUAACCCGGAGCGGCCAAGUGAUACUGUCGUGCUAGAGUGCGGAAGGGGCUACUGGAAUUCUCGGUGUAGCGGUGAAAUGCGUAGAUAUCGAGAGGAACACCUGCGGCGAAGGCGGGUAGCUGGGCCGACACUGACGCUGAGGCGCGAAAGCCAGGGGAGGCGAACGGG
rnacentral:rRNA from 1 species